rnacentral:rRNA from 1 species
GAUGAACGCUGGCGGCGUGCCUAAUACAUGCAAGUCGAGCGAACAGACGAGGAGCUUGCUCCUCUGACGUUAGCGGCGGACGGGUGAGUAACACGUGUAUAACCUACCUAUAAGACUGGGAUAACUUCGGGAAACCGGAUCUAAUACCGGAUAAUAUAUUGAACCGCAUGGUUCAAUAGUGAAAGACGGUUUUGCUGUCACUUAUAGAUGGAUCCGCGCCGCAUUAGCUAGUUGGUAAGGUAACGGCUUACCAAGGCAACGAUGCGUAGCCGACCUGAGAGGGUGAUCGGCCACACUGGAACUGAGACACGGUCCAGACUCCUACGGGAGGCAGCAGUAGGGAAUCUUCCGCAAUGGGCGAAAGCCUGACGGAGCAACGCCGAGUGAGUGAUGAAGGUCUUCGGAUCGUAAAACUCUGUUAUUAGGGAAGAACAAAUGUGUAAGUAACUAUGCACGUAUUGACGGUACCUAAUCAGAAAGCCACGGCUAACUACGUG